rnacentral:rRNA from 1 species
AAGACCUUGCGCUUUUGGAGCGGCCGAUGCCUGAUUAGCUAGUUGGUGGGGUAAUGGCCUACCAAAGCUUCGAUCAGUAGCUGGUCUGAGAGGACGGCCAGCCACACUGGGACUGAGACACGGCCCAGACUCCUACGGGAGGCAGCAGUGGGGAAUUUUGGACAAUGGGCGCAAGCCUGAUCCAGCCAUGCCGCGUGAGUGAAGAAGGCCUUCGGGUUGUAAAGCUCUUUCAGCCGGGAAGAAAAGGUUGCGAUUAAUAAUCGCAAUUUAUGACGGUACCGGAAGAAGAAGCACCGGCUAACUACGUGCCAACAGCCGCGGUAAUACGUAGGGUGCGAGCGUUAAUCGGAAUUACUGGGCGUAAAGGGUGCGCAGGCGGUUUUGUAAGUCAGAUGUGAAAUCCCCGGGCUUAACCUGGGAACU